rnacentral:rRNA from 1 species
ACGAACGCUGGCGGCACGCUUAACACAUGCAAGUCGGACGGGAAUAUAAUUUCGGUUAUAUUUUAGUGGCGGACGGGUGAGUAACGCGUGGGGACCUAUCCAAGUGUCUGGGACAACUGUUGGAAACGGCAGCUAAUACCGGAUAAGCCCUGAGGGGGAAAGGAGAGAUUCGCAGAUGGAAGGCCCCGCGUCGGAUUAGGUAGUUGGUGAGGUAACGGCUCACCAAGCCGAUGAUCUGUAGCUGGUCUGAGAGGAUGGACAGCCACACUGGGACUGAGACACGGCCCAGACUCCUACGGGAGGCAGCAGUGGGGAAUAUUGGACAAUGGGGGCAACCCUGAUCCAGCGAUGCCGCGUGAGUGAAGAAGGUUUUCGGAUUGUAAAGCUCUUUUGUUGGGGAAGAUAAUGACGGUACCCAAAGAAUAAGCCCCGGCUAACUUCGU